GCUCUGGUGACUUGCCUGUUGCUAAAUAUCAAUUAUUAUACACUAUUUGUUCAUCUGAAAUGGCACCCUACUCCCUAUAUGGGCCCUGGUCAAAAAGUAGUGCACUACAUAGGGAAUAGUGUUUCAUUUGAGACGCAGACUAUGUUGUUGAGUUUUUAGGAUACUGACUGACUACAAGGGCAUUUUGAUACUGGUCUUCUAUGCAUUUUGUAAGACUCGCAUAUUUAGUUAUUUGCUGUAGGAGUUUUGUUUCACCACGCUAUAGCUAUAUACAGGGCACUCUGACGGUGUGAUAUAGUUUAGUUAGUAGACAGAAUAACAAGAGUUUUGGUAAAUGUACAGAUUAAAAAUGUGUGCCGGGACUUUGGUACAUACACACUUAUGCAUCCAAUAUUUACCUCGUCCUCUCCUGAGCAAUAAAAAAGCCAUUUUUUUCUCACGUCUGCUAGAGUUAUGCAACACGUAGCUUCACAUGAGCUCAAUGAGGUAAAAUAAAAACCUGGGUCGUGUUCAUUAUGCACCAAACGGAAGAAAACGGUCUGAAACGGGGCAGGGGCUAUACCUGAAACGCUAAUUUUUGUUUUUGUGUUUUGCGAAACAUUUUAAAAGGUUGCGUGAAUGAAUGUCCCCGUGCUAGAAGGUAAAGCAUGGAUUGGGCUGGAGUUAUCUUUAAAACAUCCUUUGACUAAAUAAAAAUAAAAAAUGGCAAUGAAUGAACUACUGUAGUUGAUAAAGUAUUACAUUGUAUUUGAUUAUAAAGGGUUUUUAGAGAAUGACCAUUUUAACGUGCUUGUCUGCGCUGACAGACUGGAGCGAAGAGACAUUUUGUCACUGGAAGAUUUGAAGCAAAGCAAGCUAAUCUACUUCUGAUAGGUCAAAACACCACUCCAAACCAUAGACAGUGUAUGUAGCAUUACAUUCUGAUAGGUCAAAACACCACUCCAAACCAUAGACAGUAUAUGUAGCAUUACAUUCUGAUAGGUCAAAACACCACUCCAAACCAUAGACAGUGUAUGUAGCAUUACAUUCUGAUAGGUCAAAACACCACUCCAAACUAUAGACAGUGUUUGUAGCAUUACAUUCUGAUAGGUCAAAACACCAUAGAACAAACACAAUACUGUAUGUAGCAUUACAUUCUGAUAGGUCAAAACACCACUCCAAACCAAAGACAGUGUAUGUAGCAUUACAUUCUGAUAGGUCAAAACACCACUCCAAACUAUAGACAGUGUUUGUAGCAUUACAUUCUGAUAGGUCAAAACACCACUCCAAACUAUAGACAGUGUUUGUAGCAUUACAUUCUGAUAGGUCAAAACACCAUAGAACAAACACAAUACUGUAUGUAGCAUUACAUUCUGAUAGGUCAAAACACCACUCCAAACCAUAGACAGUGUUUGUAGCAUUACAUUCUGAUAGGUCAAAACACCAUAGAACAAACACAAUACUGUAUGUAGCACACAGGCAUUUUCAGAGGGACAUUUUGCAUGCAGAACACCAUACUCCAAACCACAAAGGGAUCCGGCAACUGGAGAGAUUAGCCUAUGUACCGCACAGUCAUAUUCAGAUCAUACCUUACUGCUUUCAACAUACAGUUCAUGGGUUCUGUCUCUCUCUCUCUUUCUCUCGCUCUCUCUCUGUCUCUGUCUCUCUCUCUCUCUCUCUCUGUCUGUCUCUCUCUGUCUCUCUCUCUCAAUCUCUGUCUCUCUCUCUCUCAAUCUCUGUCUCUCUCUCAAUCUCUGUCUCUCUCUCAAUCUCUCUCUCUCAAUCUCUCUCUCAAUCUCUCUCACUCUCUCUCAAUCUCUCUCUGUCUCUCUCUCAUUCUCUCUCUCUUUCUGUCUCUCUCUCGCUCGCUCUCUCUCUCUCUCUCUCUCUCUCUCUCUCUCUGUCUGUCUCUCACACCUCACCUGGCACCAGAUAAUUUAGAAUGAUUAUACUGCAGGAUUAAAUCUUGGCUGUGACAGUCAAGAAGAACAACACAAGCCAUCAUGGUGAUGAAAGCAUGGUGUACAUUAUUCUGAGGGUACGUCCCUAUAAUACAUUACCCCCCCCCCCUGAAGUGUACUGUUCCCUCAAAUAUAAAAGCCUUGACUAGCUGAUCAUAACAGAUUAAGUGAUCAUAGUGUUAGGCCUUGUAGUGUUUUUUGUUGUUGUCUAUACUAGCUGAUCAUAGUGAGAUACACCUGCAUUAGCUCCUCCCCCCCAAGCUAAUGCCUAGACUUUAUCUCAGCUGGCUAACACAGAUUCCUGGAGACCCGGAUUGGAACCUACAUGCAGACAGGCGAUCUUUAAAAACCUUUAAAGACCUGUAUAGAUCUUUAUAGCCCUUUUUAGCCAGACUUCAUAGACACAGCGUGCAGAGUAAGUUAGUUAGGAAGAUAUGUUAAGGCAGCGUUUCCCAAACUAGGUCCCUGGGGAACCCAAGGAGUGCACGUUUUUUUUUUUUUCUCCUCUACAAUUACACAGCUGAUUCAAUUCAUCACAGCUUGAUGAUGAGUUGAUUACUUUUUUAAUCAGCUAUGUAGUGCUAGGGCAAAAAAAAAAAAAAAUGGGGUCCCCAGGUCCGAGUUUUGGAAAUCCUUGGUCAAGGAAAACAGACUUUCUACACACCAGAUAUACAGAGCAUUCCUGGAAAGUAUUCAGACCCCUUCCCUUCUUUCCACAUUGUGUUACGUUACAGCCUUAUUCUACAAUGGAUGAAAUAAAACACAUUCCUCAUCAAUCUACACACAAUAUCCCUAUAAUGACAUCACAAUACCCCUAUAAUGACAUCACAAUAUCCCUAUAAUGACAUCACAAUACCCCUAUAAUGACAUCACAAUACCCCUAUAAUGACGAAGCGAAAAUAUAUAUAUAUUUCUGUUAUAUUUGGAAAUGUAUAAAAAAAAAAUUGAAUGCAUCCCAAUUGGCACCCUAGUCCCUACAUGCGGGGACUGCAAUUAUUAUUAUUAUUAUUAUUUUUAAAUGUAACCUUCAUUUAACAACACAAGUCAGUUUUAAGAACAAAAAUUCUUGCAAUAGGAUGUCGUUUGGGACACUGUCAUUGUCUAUGACCCAGUGCCUGCCCAGUGUAUAUAUAAACACAUGUAAUAAUCAGCCCCUGUUAUUGGUCAGUUACACCACAGAUGUACAGGUUUUUAUCUAUUUGUCACUUGUUGUGGUUAAUAAUAUUGUAUUGUUUCUGAAUGCAGCAUUGUGGGAGUUUUUGAACUAUGAGAAAUGAAAAGCACUUACUGAAAUGAAAUGAAAAUAAAGUUAUUAAU
ensembl:lncRNA